UGCUGAACAGCUCAGUUGGUAGAGCAUGAGACUCUUAAUUUCAGGGUUGUGGGUUCGAGUCCCGUGUCGGGAG